rnacentral:rRNA from 1 species
UAGGGAAUAUUGCACAAUGGGCGAAAGCCUGAUGCAGCAACGCCGCGUGCGCGAAGAAGGUCUUCGGAUCGUAAAGCGCUUUUCUGGGAGAUGAGAAAGGACAGUAUCCCAGGAAUAAGUCUCGGCUAACUACGUGCCAGCAGCCGCGGUAAAACGUAGGAGGCGAGCGUUAUCCGGAUUCACUGGGCGUAAAGCGCGUGCAGGCGGUUUGGUAAGUUGGGCGUGAAAGCUCCCGGCUCAACUGGGAGAGGUCGUCCAAAACUACCAGACUAGAGAGCGAUAGAGGAAAAUGGAAUUCCCGGUGUAGUGGUGAAAUGCGUAGAUAUCGGGAGGAGCACCAGUGGCGAAGGCGAUUUUCUGGAUCGUUUCUGACGCUCAGACGCGAAAGCUAGGGUAGCAAACGGGAUUAGAGACCCCGGUAGUCCUAGCUGUAAACGAUGUGAACUUGGCGUUGGUGGGUUAAACUCCAUCAGUGCCGUAGCUAACGCGAUAAGUUCACCG